AGAGUUUGAUCCUGGCUCAGAACGAACGCUGGCGGCAGGCUUAACACAUGCAAGUCGAACGCCCCGCAAGGGGAGUGGCAGACGGGUGAGUAACACGUGGGAACGUACCCUUUACUACGGAAUAACGCAGGGAAACUUGUGCUAAUACCGUAUGUGCCCUUCGGGGGAAAGAUUUAUCGGUAAAGGAUCGGCCCGCGUUGGAUUAGCUAGUUGGUGGGGUAAAGGCCUACCAAGGCGACGAUCCAUAGCUGGUCUGAGAGGAUGAUCAGCCACAUUGGGACUGAGACACGGCCCAAACUCCUACGGGAGGCAGCAGUGGGGAAUAUUGGACAAUGGGCGCAAGCCUGAUCCAGCCAUGCCGCGUGAGUGAUGAAGGCCUUAGGGUUGUAAAGCUCUUUCACCGGAGAAGAUAAUGACGGAUCCGAGAAGA
rnacentral:rRNA from 1 species